rnacentral:lncRNA from 1 species
UUUGUUUAGUGGGGAGGUAAAUGCCUUAAUCUUGUCUUAGAAACUGAAAUAAACAGUGGUGCAAAUAAAAUGUCAUUCAGGAUGCAUAUAGUUGGAAGUAAGGGAAAUAACCUCUCUACAGCUGCAGAUGGUAAACUCUGUCUAGGUAAGUAUUUGGCCAGUCUCUUUCAGGUACUUACUCAUCUUCUCUAGUCCCUGGGGGAAGAGACAGCAAUUUGCAGCCCUGUUGUUAGCAGUUAAUGUUGGAAAAAUUACCCAAGGGAAACAACGUGACUAGCUCACAUGUUACGCAUCAAAUUUGAAAGGCAGUAUUUGUCUUCUUUUUUUAACAUGAGAAAACUGUAAAAUGAAGGAAAGCAUACCCUAGAGGUGGCAUGAGUGAAUGUCUUUUGACAACUGUACUUGUUCUAAGAGAUGGGUUUUUGCUUAAGCAGCUCUUCAAAGACUCUUCUCCUCUUUUAGGUGUCAAAAAAAUUCUUCAAUAAAUUCCAUAGAUACUUUUCUAAAUGAAGAUUUGUGGAGCACAUGAGAAGUGUCAGGCAUGGUGCAACGUGUGAGAGAUCCUGUUUCCCCAAAGCCUUGGAAUAAAACAUUAUCAAACUUUUGGAUCUUUCUAAUUUCAUCAGUGAAACAUGACAGGGUCGCCCAGGCUGGAGCGUAGUGGCUCGAACACAGCUCACUUGAAGCUUCAACCUCCCGGGCUCAAGUGAUCCUCCCACCUGUCUCCUGAGUAGCUGCAACUACAGGCAUGU